UUUUGGCGAAUCGACAACGACGCCAACGCACAUCCGCGGUUUGAACCGUAGCUAAAUAUCGUGUAUUUGAAUUAGAUCAAUAACUUUUAGCAUUCGACUGCACCACACACGUACAGCACGGUACAGAAAUCUGUUGGUGGUGUACAGCAUCUACAUAAUAAUAUACUGAGUACUCUACGUUUCUACAGAUACCUACUUUCGAUAACAAGGAUCGACUGUUCAACUCGUGUUGAAAAUGUAUGUUCAGGUGCUGCAGAAGUAACAGUCAUGUUGCAAAUAAUAUGCAUGGUGCACAGCUUAAUAGUUUAUAAUUUAAUAGCUUCUAGUGGGACACUCUAAGUGGAUAAACAGACAAUAUUCUAAUGCUGGAAAACAAUAUUUUACUCUAAUUAGUUUUCAAGCAUCAAUUUUAUUGAUGACAAAAAAUAUUUUUCAAUUAAGAGAGAAUUCUUUUGAAUAUGGUCACAAACUUUAAGUAUAUACCUGUUGUGGGUAUUAUGCUAUUAUGAAAAAUAAAUUAUAUGCUGUUAAGAUAUUAUUCAAAAACAAAACUACUGCUCAAGCCAACUAUACAUAUACAACAGGUUUGACAAAAUGUCAUCGUAUGGUUUCACUUCUUUUGUAUAGGUAUUAAAAUACAUCUGUUACUGAUAUAUCACGCAGCACGUCAAAAAAAAAAAAUAUUCAAAAGAAAAUAAAGAAGUAUUUACUAUUAAUUAUAUGGUAUACAAAUAAUUAACUAUGAAGCUAAUAAGCUGUUACUAAUACCAGUAAUACCCAUAAUAUUUAUUUUGAUGAAUAAUCGACGACUAACCAAACAAUUGAAGAUUUAAGUGAAAUUCUACCCUUGGAAAAUGUUAUUAAUUCUUAAGAUUUCUCUAGAACUUCGAAAAAUAAUAUACAAAUGUUGUUUGAGAUUUGUAUUUUUUUUUUUAAACGUGAUAUAGCUUCAAAGACCACAGGACAAUAUGACAGUGUAAAAUGGUCUUAGUAAAAAAUUAUGUUUAACUUCUAGAAUUUCUUAAAAGUGUGAAUAAUGAAGGUGUGCCUUAAUACUUACUAUAUGUAUGUAUAUGACGUAAUGGUUAUAAUACAAUUAUGUACUAUUUUUUAGGUUUAAUAUUGUUAGAUAUAUGCAUUAAUGUAUUAAUAUAAGAUUAAUAUUUGUAUAAUAUUAUACCCAAUACAUUUUUCUUAAAUUUAUAAUUUACAA